rnacentral:lncRNA from 1 species
UGUGAUCCGCCUGCCUUGGCCUCCCAAAGUGCUGGGAUUACAGACGUGAGCCACUGUGCCCCGGCCAUACACAACUCAUAAUGGAUUAAGGUCCACCUAAUGACCUCACUUAACCUUAAUUACCUCUUUAAAGACCCUGUCAGAAAAUAUAGUUACAUCUGAAGUACCCGGGGUUAGGAUUUCAACAUACUGGAGGUGGGAGGAGCACAAUUCAGCGCAUAACAGAAGCUAACACAGAAAAAAACACAGAGAUGGGGUAAGAGACUGAGGCUUGACUUUGUUUGAGCUCCUGGAUCCAGCUGUGCCUGAAGUUGAAACUAAUACUAUCCAGGACUCUUGAGUUUCAUGAUCCAAUAAGUACCUAAAUCCCACCUCUCCUUUUUUUUCCCCUCUUGAACCUAGUUGAGUUGGAUUUCUGUCACUUACAGUUAAAAUUCCUGAGUAAUACACAGGAGAACUAGUUAACAAAUUAUUAAAAUAGCCCACCCCUAAUUUAAUCACCAUGUGCAAGGACAGUGCUUGUAUGUACACCCAGGUAUGUCUAAUUCUAAUAGCUAGAGGUAGCAAAUAUGGUAAAAAUUGAGCCAAGUUUGCACUAGCCUCUUCCAUUAAGCAGGAAUUCCCACCUUAGCUCUGAAGCCAUGUAGGACAGGGCUGGAGAAACUACUAUUCCUACCAAUGUUUCUAAUGUGUGCAGUAGGCUGGGGUGCUGGCAGGGGAAAAUUAAAAAUGUAGUUUGGGUUAAAAAAAAAAGAAAAAGAGCUUUCUAGGCCAGGCGCAGUGGCUCACGCCUGUAAUCCCAGCAUGUUGGGAGGCUGGGGCGGGUGGAUAGCUUGAAUCCAGGAGUUUGAGACCAGCCUGCGCAACGUGGUGAAACCCCGUCUCUACAGAAAAUACAAAAAUUAGCCAGGAGAGUCGCUGUGUGUCUGCAAUCCCAGCUACUUGGGAGGCUGAGGUGGGAGGAUUGCUUGAACCCAGGAGGCGAUGGUUGCAGUGAGCCGAGAUGGCGCCACUGUACUCCAGCCUGGGUGACAGAGUGAGACCCUGUCUCAAAAUCAAUCAGUCAAUCAAUCAAUCAAACAAACAAACAAACAAAAAACAGCUUUCCAGAAGGGAAAAAUCAUUUUGGGAAGCUUUGAGUAGGGGCUGUGGAGAGUGGGCUCCAGACGUCACUUCAUUGGUUGGCAGGUGCUGUUAGGGGGUGCCCAGAGGGGAGCUCGGGGGAGCGGCGGCUUUCUUCCAGCAGAUAUGGACUCGGGCAGGAGCCACUGAGCAAGUACUCCGAUGGGCUGGGCUUCCUGAGGCUUCAUGCCUGGGCUGAGCAGGGCGGGGCUGUGGUCCACGUGGUGCCCAUUGGCCUCCCAAAAGGAAGGAGCGGGGAGAACUAGAAAUGUGGCUGGAAAAAGUCAGCAUCUCCCUCCUGGGCGGGCUCCCUGGUGGUCCCGGGAGCUGGCCAUGUCUGGAGGAGGAGGCUCCUCUAAGGUGUGCAGCUGCCUUUCUCAAUGCCGCUGAGUUGGAUUGGGAUCUCUUUCAAUGAGAGUGUUUUGAGGGACCCUCAGCUCCAUGCUCUGCUGGCUUCCUCCAGGGAUGCUGAGAGGUGGCCCUUCUAGUGGUAAGAUGAGGGGCCCAUGGCCUUGUGGAGUCAGACACACUGGCAUUCACUGAAAGCUCUGUGCCUGACCUACCUGGUGACUUGGGGCAAGUGACUUCACCUGACUGAGCCUCUUUCCUUCAUCACUGGCAAAAUGGAACCAACUUCACAGCCUUCUCCUGAGGCUUAAGUGAAACCAAGCAGUCAUAAAGGGAUAGGCUUUGGAGUCCCUGGGUUUGCAUCCCAGUUUACUAACUGAGCUGGGUGGCCUUGGGCAAGUCACUCACCCUCUCUGAGCCUCAGUGUCCUACUCUGUAAAAUGAACCCACCAAUGGUACUUAUUUCCUAGGGCAAAUGUGAGGAUUGACAGAUAAAACAUGUAAACUUCAUGAAAGCAAGGGGUUUUGUUAUUGAUUUAUCCCCUCUGCAGUUCCUGGGACAUAAAGACACUAAAUAAAUGGGAUCAGCUUUUAUUGUUAUUAUGAUUCACCGUCACCCAGCACUGGUUGAGGCUGCUCUCUGUGGCAUCCUGUAGACACACUUGUAUGUGAGUUUCUGGUCAGGAUGGGGAGGACAAGACCACUGUCUCUGGCACACUUAGCAAACUCUAUCUCCAGGGAUAGAGUAAGACUCCUAUGGUGCAGGAGGGGGCAUGAGGGAAGGCUAGGAGUGCCCUCUGCACUGUUUAAGCACCUCACUUGUGUCAUUUCACUGCACCCAUACCCACGCCCCAUGAACUAGAUUCAUUUAUUACCCCAUUUGACGAUGAGGAGGCUGAGGUUCAUCAAGGUAUAGCCAUUGAGAUCUUACUGCCAGGGAGAGGUAGAGCCAGGGUUCAAACCUGAAUUUGUACUGUUCCAAAUCCCUUUUUUAAAAAUUUUUAUUUUUAUUUUUUUUUUAUUUUCCCAGGCUGGAGUGCAGUGGGCAAUUAAGGCUGACUACAGCCCCCAACUCCUGGGCCCAGACAAUCCUCCCGCUUCAGCCUCCCAAGUAGCUGGGACCACAGACGUGUGCCACAGUGUAGGCCCCUUCUUUUUAAAUAGCGUGGUAUGCAGGAAACAGUGAAGGAGGGAUGGAGGGUCAGAGUCACCGGGUAGAGGGUGCGUUCCUGGGCCGACUGGGGUGGGGCCUCUAGGAAUGAGCCACAAGGGCAGGCCCCACCGCCUUCUCUCAUAUUUGGCAGGUGCUGUGUCCCCUGCUCCGUGCCCCUCAGGAUUCUUUAGGAAGUGGCUCCAUCGACCCACUCUCAGUUGAGCUGAAAGAGGACUCGAGGGACUCUUUAUUGGGAAAAAAUGGAGUGCAAAGCCUACUCCUGCCCCUGCCAGCACCAGCCUUCGGAGGCAAAUAAAAAGCAGUGGGCACUGGGACAGCAGCCCCAGAGGUGCACUAAAAUCCACCUGACAAAUGGCCCCUCUCCCAUGAGCCCACGAACAGCAGAGAGGAAGGUGGCCAGGGCCAAGUAGAAAGAUUUCUACAGCAUGGCCGAGUUCUCCAAGGUCAAGAGCAAGCAGAGCUGCCGCCUGUAUUCCUGAGAACUGGCCUCCUGGGGAUGUGGCCAGCCCUUUUUAAGGGAUUUGGGUCAAGGUGGGGAUUCUGACCCUCACCGCUGUGCUGGGACUGGCCUGGGAACUGGGAAGGAGGAUACACUUGGGAAAACUGCAGUGAAGAAUGCAUAAUAAUGGAAGGAAUCUCAUGGAUGAUUAUCAGGUAGCUCUCAGGAUCAAGAGGAAAGCUGGAGACGGCCUUUCGGCAGGAAGGGGGAAACUGAGGCAGAAGGCAGACCCUGCCCAGUGAUGGUCCCUUUCACAUGUCACUACUGGCACCAUCACUGUGGGACAUAUACUCCCACCAUGGGCACUACAGGCUCUGGGUCUUGCUGUGCUCCCUGGACUGUUGACUGCCUGGAAGCCUCUGGGAGUCACCUCUCGCUCUGUAGCUUCAGGUCUCUCCUCCCAGAGUCAAACUCCCCAUGGGCAGGGCUGCUGGAUAAAAUACAGGAUGCCCAGUGACAUUCUACUUUCAGAUAAUUGAAAAAAAUUUUUUAGUAGAAAAAAGUUAUUUAUCUGAAAUUCAAAUUUAACUGGAUAGCCUGUAUUUUUAUUUGCUAACUUAGCCGCCCCACUCAGAGCGCUGGGCCCUGCUCUGGUGCCUGGUGGGGAGGAACUCUGUCUCUUCCACUUCUGGGGUAAGAAUGUCAAUCUUGUUGGAUUGGAUUGAUUACAUUGUUUGGAUGGAAAAUAGAGGAAAAAGAGCACAUACAACUGCGACUCCUUAAACCUGUCCCCCUAUUUGUUUUUUUUGUUUUUUUUUUUGAGACAGGGUCUCACUCUGUCACCCAGGCUGGAGUGCAGUGUCAUGGUCAGGGUUUGCUGCAGCCUUGAAGUCCUGAGCUCAAGUGAUCCUCCUGCCUCAGCCUCCAGAGUACCUGGGAGUACAGGCGUGCGCCACCACACCCAGCUAAUUUUUGUAAUUUUUUUUUUUUUGUAGAGAUGGGGUUUCACCAUGUUGGCCAGGCUGGUCUCAAACUCCUGGGCUCAGGUGAUCUGCCCUCCUCGGCCUCCCGAAGUGCUGGGAUUACAGGUGUGAGCCACCAUGCCUGCCUGUCCCAUUUCCCCAUUUUAAAAAAGUCACCUGCCCGAUUGGUUUUCAAAGCUGCCUUCACUCAAAGAGGGCCUGGAGGGUAGGAAUGACUCAUACAGUCAUUCAUUGUCUGUGCCCGCUUUUCAUAGCACAAAAGAUAGGUCCUUCCCAUCCCGCCCAUCCUCUCCCUGCUGGUCAUCUUGUAUGCGGAGAAUCCAAGGAUCUUCUUACCAAUGAGUUCUUGCCGCUCAUGAGCAGGUGAAGGAGUGGAGCUGAAGUGGAAAUAAUCUAUGGGCUGGACUGUCUAGACAGCAUUUGCUCCUCUGGAUAGGGAGGAGAGCAGACAGAAGCGGGCUUUGGCCAAACUGAAACUCAAGCCAUCACUGCCAGCCCUUCCUGAGCCAUCUCAGAUGAGCCUUGUCUCUGGGCCACAGCCAGAAUUGGCCUGGGCUGUUUCUCACUCCUAUUUCAAAGGAUUUGUGCUCCUAGCAGAGGAAAAGCUUGAACAUUUACAGUGAAAAAUUUAGUAGAAGGGGGAAGAAACAGAGGGUCUUUCUUUCUUUCUUUCUUUCUUUUUUCUUUCUUCUUUUCCUUCUUUUGUCUUAUCUUUUGGUUUUGGGGCAGUGAAAGAAAAUUAAUUUUUUAGCUAUAAAACUUUGUCUUAAGAUCAGUUUUGGAAAGAAAAGCAUCUACUAAUUGAAAACGUCACUUUUCGGGCCCUUAAGUCAAGGGAAACAGGUGCAAGUUUGUGGUUUUAGACACAGCAUUUCUUUUGGAAAAAAGUAGUAAAAGUACCCCAGAUAAGUUCUCUCCAAAGCUGGAUAGAUUUUUAUUUUUCAGCCCUUUAUUACAUAGAAGGUGACAGAUUAGCUGAAAAGUUAAAAGAAAAAUCAACUCUCACCCUUGUAGGUAACACUCCAAUCUCUCUCUCUCUUUUUUCUUUCCAAGGCUGAAGAGAGGGCAACUGUUUACUGCAAUUUUGAUAAAAUUCCCUUUCAAUACGGCCUGUUCCUGGAUAGAGUCCCACCUUUCAUCUGCUUUUAUUCCUAAUCCUGUGGCAAAGCCUGGACCUCCCUUUUCUUCUCAUACAAGCUCGACAGAGCUGGCAUUUUCCUUCUCCAUUUCAGUGACAUGUUUUUCAGUGUUUUGUCUGUUUGUGAAGGGGCAGAAAUGUCAAGGUCAAAAAAGUCUUGGAAAAAAUGAGUAGUAUUUCUGUACCUGCUGAGGGUUAGGUGCUUGGAUGUUAUAUAUCUCUGCAUUCCCACAGUAAAACCAUGUGUGGUUGGGGAGCUUUUCCUUUUUUAACCUCUCUGGGUGGUUGAGGAAUUGGAGGCUCAGAGAGGAGAAGUGACACAGCCCAAGGUGACGCCACCAGGAGCUGAACUUGAAAGCCAAGCCAAGUCCGUCUGACCAUCAAGCGUUGCUCCUAUAAUCAUACUACCUUGCCUUCUGCCUUUGUAAACAUGAGGUGACACAUCAAGCUAGGGCUAUUAAAAUACCCAGAAGCACUUUUCUUCCAAAUAACUCACAAUAUCUUGUCUUUGGGAAGUAUUCAAUAGGUUUAUUUCAGUAAAAGAUACACCAUUGCCAUGGUUUUAGGGAGUGAUUCUGAAUUUUAUGUUACUGAUUAAGAAAGAUGGUUAAUGGAACCUGUUUCCUUAAGAAAUUUACAUCAUAUAUUAGUAAGCUGUUGCUGUGUAGCAAAUCACACCAACACUUAGUGCCUUGAAGUAACAACAUGUAUUAUCUCACAAUUUCUGUAGGUGUGAAAACUGGACAUCAUUUAGCUGGGUCCUGUGCUUCAGGGUAUCUCACAGGCAGCACACAAGGCUUCAUCUGGGCUAUACUCAUCAGAAGGCUGGAUUGGGGAAGAUCUGCUUCCAAGUUUACUUACAUGGUUGUUGGUGGGAUUCAGUUCCUGGUAGGCUGCCAGCUUUAGCUCCUCAUUUCCUGAUGGCUGGAGGGUUCCCUCAGUUCCUUUCCAUGUGGGCCUCUCCAGCAUGGCUGCUUGCUUCAUCAAAGUGUACAAGAAGGGAGACAGCAAUAGGAACAUGUCAGCAAGAUGGAAUCCACAGUCUUUUUAAAGCUAACCAUGGAAGUGAUAUUCCAUCACUUUUGGUGUAUUCUGUUUGUUAGGAACAAGACACUAGGUCCAGCCCACCACUCAAGGUAUGGGAUUACACACGGCAUGAAUACUAUGGGGUGGGGAUCACUGGAAAUUAUGUCAGCAGCUAUCUGUCACACAUGAGAGAAGUGGAGAUGGUAGUCAUAAUAAUAGUCAUCAUCAUCAUAAUAAUAAGGCUGGUGAGGAUAGCCAGCAUUUAUUGGGUGUUCUUGAUGCAUCAGGCACUGGGCUAAAUCCCUUCUAUGCAUUGUCUCCUUUAAUCUCCUCAUCACUCUCAUUAACUUCCCUGAGUUACUACAGCAAAGAGAUUAGGACCAGACUCUGUUGUUUCCACUCCGAAGUCCAUCCCUUUACAUGAUGCAGAUCAUUGAUAAGAAUCCACUGAGCUGCUGAGGCUCCAGGAAAGACCUGAUUGAGAGAGGAGUCUGAUAAACGAAGCUGAACUCACUGCUCCUCAGAAAACUGCAAAUGAACACAACCAGAAGCCAUUUCUUACCCAUCAGAUUGGAAAAGAAAAUUGUCCGUAGGUCAAAGCAAGUCACACAGUUGUGCCCAAAGUCAAGGUGAAGAGAGUGCACUCUGAGGGUCAUGGCAAGGGUCAAGGAGUUGUAUAAUAGGUCCCCUGCAAUCUGGACGGUGCAGAGCUUACCUGCCUCUGAAGGUAAGCCUCACCUCUUUCUUCUUCUCUUUUGGUACUUCUGCUAUAGCCAUGCGUGUUCCCUGGACAUGCUACAUAUUGUGCACAUGCUAUUCCACAGACCUAGGAUGCUCCUCCCUGUCUCAUACAUUUGGUCAACCCUAUCGCAUCAUUCCUGACUAAGCAAGGCCUGGCUCAAAAGAUCAGGGAGGACAUCCUUAUUUGUCUUUCUUUUCCUCUCCAUAGGUAUGGGUGGAUCAUGGGGAUUCAGGGCCCCUCUUGGUACUUGGUUCUCUCUUUGGGUAUUCUCUCUUUCUCUCCUCUCACCUCUCUCUUUCUCUCUCUGUCUCUCUCUUGCUUUUGUUCUCAGCCUGCAUUGGCAUGAUCAUUUAAAGAUGAACAUCUGGCAUAGAGAGUUGGCCUUACUUUGGCCCUGAACCCUCACUAGGAUGCUCUGCAGGGUAGAAGGCUCACCUGGG